rnacentral:rRNA from 1 species
AAAACAUCGCCUCUUGCUAAAUAAAAGUAUAAGAGGUCCAGCCUGCCCAGUGACCACAAGUUUAACGGCCGCGGUAUUUUAACCGUGCAAAGGUAGCGCAAUCACUUGUCUUUUAAAUAAAGACCUGUAUGAAUGGCUAAACGAGGGCUUAACUGUCUCCCUUAUCAAGUCAGUGAAAUUGAUCUAUCCGUGCAGAAGCGGGUAUAAUUAUACAAGACGAGAAGACCCUUUGGAGCUUAAGACAUAAAACUUAACCACGUUAAGCAACUCAAUAAAAAGUAACUUUACACAAACCUUGUGGUAAAUAAGAUUACUGUCUUCGGUUGGGGCGACCAUGGAGGAAAACAAAGCCUCCAAGUGGAAUGAGGUAUUUACCUUAAAACCAAGAGAUACACCUCAAAGCUACAAAACAUUUGACCAUUAAUGAUCCGAUUAACCACUACCGAUCAACGAACUAAGUUACCCUAGGGAUAACAGCGCAAUCCUCUCCUAGAGUCCGUAUCGACGAGAGGGUUUACGACCUCGAUGUUGGAUCAGGACAUCCUAAUGGAGUAACCGUUAUUAAGGGUUCGUUUGUUCAACGAUUAAAGUCCUACGUGA